UACGGAGGGUGCGAGCGUUAAUCGGAAUUACUGGGCGUAAAGGGCGCGUAGGCGGCUGAUCAAGUCAGGUGUGAAAGCCCACGGCUUAACCGUGUGAAGUGCAUCUGAAACUGGUCGGCUUGAGUAUCGGAGAGGAAAGUGGAAUUCCCGGUGUAGAGGUGAAAUUCGUAGAUAUCGGGAGGAAUACCGGUGGCGAAGGCAGCCCCCUGGUUACG
rnacentral:rRNA from 1 species